rnacentral:rRNA from 1 species
UGCUACACAUGCAGUCGAGCGAUGAAACCCUUCGGGGUGGAUUAGCGGCGGACGGGUGAGUAACACGUGGGUAACCUGCCUCAAAGAGGGGGAUAGCCUCCCGAAAGGGAGAUUAAUACCGCAUAAUAUUAGUUUUUCGCAUGAAGAACUAAUUAAAGGAGCAAUCCGCUUUGAGAUGGACCCGCGGCGCAUUAGCUAGUUGGUGAGGUAACGGCUCACCAAGGCGACGAUGCGUAGCCGACCUGAGAGGGUGAUCGGCCACAUUGGAACUGAGACACGGUCCAGACUCCUACGGGAGGCAGCAGUGGGGAAUAUUGCACAAUGGGCGAAAGCCUGAUGCAGCAACGCCGCGUGAGUGAUGAAGGCCUUCGGGUUGUAAAGCUCUGUCUUUGGGGACGAUAAUGACGGUACCCAAGGAGGAAGCCACGGCUAACUACGUGCCAGCAGCCGCGGUAAUACGUAGGUGGCGAGCGUUGUCCGGAUUUACUGGGCGUAAAGGAUGCGUAGGCGGAUAUUUAAGUGAGAUGUGAAAUACCCGGGCUUAACUUGGGUGCUGCAUUUCAAACUGGAUAUCUAGAGUGCGGGAGAGGAGAAUGGAAUUCCUAGUGUAGCGGUGAAAUGCGUAGAGAUUAGGAAGAACACCAGUGGCGAAGGCGAUUCUCUGGACCGUAACUGACGCUGAGGCAUGAAAGCGUGGGUAGCAAACAGGAUUAGAUACCCUGGUAGUCCACGCCGUAAACG